AAUCUGUAGGUCCAUGGAAACAAAAUCGAAGGUGGAACAAGCUGAGUCAGCGAAGAAAAGAUGAUAAAGGUACAAGGCUUAUAUAGGUUCUUCAUCUAUCGUAAUUAACUAAGAUUUAGGUUGUUUGAGAUUCAACCAUGUUUACCAUGUUGAUUGUAGCAUCAAUCCAUGGCAAAUAAAUGUAGACAUUUUGGGUACUCAGGAGAAACCCCCUUGCCCUAUUUUUUUAUUAUUUU
rnacentral:lncRNA from 1 species